UAGAAGACAGGCCUGGAUUUGAAUC
rnacentral:piRNA from 1 species